CAGGAAGUCACGAGUUCAAAUCUAAUCUCAGACACUUACUAGCUCUGUGACCCUGGACAAACCACUUAACCUUAAUUUGUCUCAGUUUCCUUAACUAUAAAAUGGGGAUAAUAAUCAUAUCACCUACCUUACAGAGUUGUGAGGAGCAAGCAAGAUGAUAUUUGUAAAAUUCUUUACAUGGUACAUGGAAUAUAAUAAGUGCUAAAUAAAUGUUUACUGCCUCCCUGACCGCUCUCUGCUCUGCUGCGGGCUGGCACCAAAUAUGGCUUUAAAAAAUGCUUAUUGUUUGACUCAUUGGCUCAACCACUAACCAAGAAUCCUGACCUCACACUUUUUUUUACAUUAUCUCCCCAAUUAGAUUGUGGGCUCCUGGCGGAAAGGAAUUGUCUCCCUCUUUCUGUUCGUACCCUGAGCACUUUGGCCAGAUUUUUCACAUGCCCCAGUGAUUCAAGUUAUAAGGCUUGGGUGAACUAUACAGCAGCAUAUUUACUGAAAGAACUGAUGGAUGUGAUUGCUAAGCUGCAGUCAGUGAUCAUGGAAAUCUGAUGAACAGGUUAAGUACUGCAGAACUAAAGACAAAUGGAUUGUCCUGUUGGACUGUUAAACAAGGAAAAAUGAUGGAUGCUCCACAUUAGAGAUGAUGGA
rnacentral:lncRNA from 1 species